rnacentral:lncRNA from 1 species
GUUGCUCCAAAGGGUAUAAUUGAUGGUGUAGAUCUCCCGCCAAUGCAACAAGAUGAUUGUGUCGACAUUACAAAACCUGAUGUUGAAGAAAAUGUUCUUUUAAUUGAUCCACGUAAUCGACAAGUUGAAGAUCUACAUGGGGACGAAACUGAAGAAGGUGCUGACGAAUUUCAAACAAGCAGUGAUGAUGACGAUGAUGAUGAGGACAACGAGGAAAAUGUUGAAGACUAAUUAAAUAUGUUGACAUUUAAUUGCAUGCUUUGAACGUUUAAAUGUAACAUUUGUCAAAUUUGAUAAAUUUGUUUAAAUUUAAAUGUUUUAAAAAUGAAAGACAAUUAAUGAAAAAAAAUUUGUUUAAGUGUUGACUUGGACAUAUGUUGACUAUUACGACG